GCGGAGGAAAAGAAACCAACAGGGAUUGCCUUAGUAGCGGCGAGUGAAGCGGCAAAAGCUCAAAUUUGAAAUCUGGCUCUUUCAGAGUCCGAGUUGUAAUUUGAAGAAGGUAUCUUUGGGUCUGGCUCUUGUCUAUGUUUCUUGGAACAGAACGUCACAGAGGGUGAGAAUCCCGUGCGAUGAGAUGAUCCAGGCCUAUGUAAAGUUCCUUCGAAGAGUCGAGUUGUUUGGGAAUGCAGCUCUAAGUGGGUGGUAAAUUCCAUCUAAAGCUAAAUAUUGGCGAGAGACCGAUAGCGAACAAGUACAGUGAUGGAAAGAUGAAAAGAACUUUGAAAAGAGAGUGAAAAAGUACGUGAAAUUGUUGAAAGGGAAGGGCUUGAGAUCAGACUUGGUAUUUUGUAUGUUACUUCUUCGGGGGUGGCCUCUACAGUUUAUCGGGCCAGCAUCAGUUUGGGCGGUAGGAGAAUUGCGUUGGAAUGUGGCACGGCUUCGGUUGUGUGUUAUAGCCUUCGUCGAUACUGCCAGCCUAGACUGAGGACUGUGGUUUAUACCCAGCACGUUGGUAUAAUGAUCUUAACUCUUUCGCCCUGAUUUACG
rnacentral:rRNA from 1 species